GUGUCUGGGGCCACAGCAGGGAGGAGGUGCGGUGCAGGGGCGAGCAUGGCUGCAGGGGAGCGGCCCCCACGGCCCCAACCAUGCUGAGUGGGGUCUGCAUGGGGCCAAGACAGAGGGAUUAAGAUGGGGACAGAGAACCAGCUACAGGAGCUGAGGAACACCAGGCCCUCAGGACCCCAUGGAGGGACUGGAGCAGCCUCCACCACGGCCCCAUCGGUGUUCCCACUGGCCCCCAGCUGCGGGACCACAUCCGGCUCCACAGUGGCCCUGGCCUGCCUGGUGUCCGGCUACUUCCCCGAGCCCGUGACUGUGUCCUGGAACUCCGGCUCCAUGACCAGUGGUGUGCACACCUUCCCGUCCGUCCUGCAGUCCUCAGGGCUCUACUCUCGCAGCAGCAUGGUGACAGUGCCCUCCAGCAGGUGGCCCAGUGACACCUUCACCUGCACCGUGGCCCACCCGGCUAGUAGCACCAACAUUGUCAAGCCAGUGACCCAAGACUGUGACUGUGUGGAACCACCGCAACCCCCAUGCCGAGUCGCUGAAAUGCUGGGAGGACCUUCGGUCUUCAUCUUCCCCCCCAAACCUAGUGACAUCCUCAAAAUUGCCCGAACCCCCGAGGUCACAUGCGUAGUGGUGGACCUGGGCCGAGAAGACCCUGAAAUCCAGAUCAGCUGGUUCGUGGAUGACCAGGAGGUGCACACGGCCAAGACAAAUCCACGUGAGGAGCAGUUCAACAGCACCUACCGUGUGGUCAGUGUCCUCCCCAUCGUGCACCAGGACUGGCUCAAGGGGAAGGAGUUCAAGUGCAAGGUCAACAAUGAAGCCCUCCCAUCCCCCAUCCAGAGGACCAUCUCCAAGGCCAGAGGGCAGGCCCAUCAGCCCAAUGUGUACGUCCUGCCCCCGUCUCCAAAGGAGAUGGCAUCCAAGGACAAAGUCAGCGUGACCUGCCUGGUCAAAGACUUCUACCCACCUGAGGUUGAUGUCGAGUGGCAGAGCAAUGGCCAGCAGAUGCCAGAAAGCAAUAUCCGAACAACCCCACCCCAACUGGACGCAGAUGGGACCUACUUCCUCUACAGCAAGCUCUCGGUGGACAAGAACCGCUGGCAGCGGGGAGAGGUCGUCACGUGUGUGGUAUUGCAUGAAGCUCUACACAACCACCACACAGAGCUAUCCGUCUCCCAGUCUCCGGGUAAAUGAACAACACGCCCGGGACCCCAGCAAGCCCCCACCCAUGGGCUCUCAGGGUCCCACAAGGACGCCAGAGCCCCCACCCCUGUGUACAUACCUCCCGGGCAGGCACCCCUGCAUGAAAUAAAGCACCCAGCACUGCCCUGGGACCCUGC